rnacentral:rRNA from 1 species
GAUGACUCGGUGGGAGCGGGGGCGGUAAUAGAGGGGGUGUGAGUGGUAAUUUGAUUUAAUGUGGGUAAAGCUGGCGUAGGUGGCUAAUUAAGUCAAAUGUGAAAUCCCCGUGCUUAGCUUGGGAAUUGCAGUCGAUACUGGUUGGCUAGAGUAUGGGAGAGGAUGGUAGAAGUCCAGGUGUAGCGGUGAAAUGCGUAGAGAUCUGGAGGAAUACCGAUGGCGAAGGCAGCCAUCUGGCCUAAUACUGACACUGAGGUGCGAAAGCAUGGGGAGCAAACAGGAUUAGAUACCCUAGUAGUC